rnacentral:rRNA from 1 species
UGGGGCGGUUCGCCGCCCCCGACGUCGCGAGAAGUCCAUUGAACCUUAUCAUUUAGAGGAAGGAGAAGUCGUAACAAGGUUUCCGUAGGUGAACCUGCGGAAGGAUCAUU